GACGAACGCUGGCGGCGUGCCUAAUACAUGCAAGUCGAACGCAGUGGGGACGGGUGAGUAACACGUGGGUAACCUCCCAUCAGAGGGGAAAACACUUGGAAACAGGUGCUAAACCGAUACUGAUGGAUGGACCCGAGGUGCAUUAGCUAGUUGGUGAGGUAACGGCUCACCAAGGCCACGAAGCAUAGUCGGCCUGGUAGGGUGACCGGCCACACUGGGAUGGAGACACGGCCCAGACUCCUACGGGAGGCAGCAGUAGGGAAUCUGCGGCAAUGGGCGAAAGUCUGACCGAGCAACGCCGCGUGAGUGAAGAAGGUUUUCGGAUCGUAAAACUCUGUUGUUGGAGAAGCGGUAUCUAACCAAAAAGCCACGGCUAACUACGUGCCAGCAGCCGCGGUAAUAC
rnacentral:rRNA from 1 species